GGUUGUCUACUGCAAUGGUGCUGCUCCAUGCCGUUGGUUGUGGGUAUCUGAAUGCAGUGGGCAACUUGAAGAAGUGGCCAGAGUAAAUAUUUAAAAAUCUAGAACAAGGUUGUCAUGGGUGGGGGAAGCUGAAGGGUCUUUUAAAAAAAUGCAGGCAUAGGAAGGAAGGACACAUUUGAAGGUGUACUCAAAGUAUCCGUACACGAUGGUUGACUGCAAAUAGUAUCAGGCAGUUUAUAUAGUAGUUGGAGUAAUAUGUAGGCCAUUCAUUUAGACUGAGCAAGGGGGUUGGGGGUCUCUUUGGUUGCUGUAAAACACAGGAUCUGCUUUAAUAAAUAUAAUGGGAGGAAUUCAGCAUUGUGCUAAGAUGAUUGUUCCAUCAGGGCAAGUAUCUCCUCCCUCCACCACACUGUUCCAGAGAUUCUCAUUUUGAUAGGACUACUGAUAGGGCAGGGUACAAAUAAAAUUUUAUAAUAAUAAUAAUAAUUAAUUGAAGUAGAUCACUGUCAACGGCCCCUUCCCGCUCUACCAUUCUCUGGCUCUAUUCUCUAUGGGACCAUUGUUCCUCUUCCUUUUCCAUAUGCAAGAGGUGCUAUCCCUGUUCAGAAAUCAGGCUAAUGCAUGAAUGGGGAGCUGUGCCAAGUGGCGACCAACAUCACCCCAGUGUCUUAAAGUGCAGUGUGAACUGCUGCAUGAAGGGUGCCUUCACAUGUGAACAGCUGUAUACAUGAAGGCUGCUAAGUGAUGGGUUAGUUGAUGCACAUGAUGGGGCCUGCAUACGCGGCCUUCUCCACUGCAGGGUUAGUCUGCACAAUGUGCAAUGUCAGUGCGGCCACCUGCUGAAGCCCCAUUCUGCACUCAUGCAUUGGGACUCCUGUGUGAACAUAACAUCUUGGUAGGGCUAUUAUUUCAGUGAGAUAAUAGCAUGUUUUUAUGUUUGAGUACAGAGGCAGCUGUUACGUGAUUUCUUCCUUACUGAUGGAUACUUCAAGCUUUGCUUGUGGGAGGGACCUUCUCCUCACUGUGAUAAUCCAUCUUGUCAUUUCCCCCUUUCUAAAACAAAAACUGCUACUCUGGUGAAAUCCAUGUCUGAUUGUGAAGCCUAAAGAAUAGCUGUAGUCAUGAGCAGCUGUACUGCAACCAGCCAUAAGAGGGAGAUAAGAUAUCACUUGAUUUUUCCUUCCUCCAUCUUGUACCAUACCUGGCUUCAUUUAAGUAGCUGACAUGUACUGUUGUAGUGGCAUUAUUAAGGGAACAUGCAUUGAGCAUGAUUAACUUUAAACACUGAAUGUGCUGUGGUAAAUUAGCCAAAUUUCGUCGGUGGACAACCUUUGGCCCUGACCUCCAUUUUCUAAUGCCUCCUGAAGCUGCCCCCAUCCUUCCAUCCCAUCAGCGUUCCUCCCUCCCUGUGGGCUUCUGUUUUACUUCUCCUGGUUUUUAAAAGUACAGUUCAUGUCAUUUCAGGACAAUCGACAGUCUUUUUAUUCCACGAUAAUUCAUUUAGAAACAUACUUUCCUGGCUGUACGGCAUGGGGAAUCUCCCUCAAUCUUCAGUUAUACACAUGUGUGUUUAGAUAGGGAUUGCUUUUACUUGCUUUCCUCUACACUAACUAUAUUAACUUGUUCCACUGAUGGAAGAAAGGGAAAUCCUCUAUAUUCUUAAUGUGAGUAGCCCCAUCAAACCCAGUGGGGUUUACUUCUGUGUACACAUGCCUAUGAUUUUUAAUUUUAAUCUUAGGUAGCCAUGGUGAAAAUGGAAGCAGUGUGGUUCUUAUUUUGGAUUCAUUUAAUGCAUAACACUUUUUUUGUCUCUGGCUCCACCUCAACAGCUCUGGCUUUGCCUAUUGCUGGCAUGCUGCCUCCAGACAGAUCACCCUCAUGGGAAUGUGUCCCUUAAAGACAAAAGGCUGCCCACCCCUUGGCUAAUUUAUCAUUGUACACUGUCUUGGUGGGCCAUUUUGAGGUCUGAAAGGCAGCAUAGAAAUGUUUUUCUAUAACUAAAUUAAAAACAAAAUAGCCAUAUUAAGUUAGAAGAUGUUCCAAGUAUUCCAGUCAUCAGAUGUUUGGCUCAAGUAGUACUAUAACUCAUUGGUCGUCCCCUGUGUUGGUGACACUAACUCGACGUCAACACAAAACUGAACUUUUUGUCUCAUUGGCCCAGUCCUGUGGAAUGUUCUUCCCAUAGAGAUUCAGCAGGCGCCUUCUAUUCUAACCUUUAAACAGUUCCUGGAAAUUUUUCUGUGCUGCCAGGCUUAUGCACGCAAUUAAGAAAACAUCUUCUUUAAUAGUUAGAAUCAAAGAUCGCCGAUCAACUAUGUGAGUUUGUGUUUGUGUGUAUUUGUUGUAAACUGCUUUGAUAUGUUUUUUCAUGAAAUGUUGUGGUAUGUGGGUAUUUCCACGAAUAAAUGCUGUUGAUCUAUAUGGCCAUGUUGCUGCAGGGUUAUAUGUGGGAUCUGCAAAGCACUGAGCAUUAGAUGGUGUUUGCAAGUUAAUUUGCACAUUCUUGUACAUAUGGAGGAAGUUUCUGUAUAAAACAUUUAUUUGCAGUAUGGAGGAAGGGAUCUAUGGGAGUGGAUAUUUGAUGAUAAUUGUAUCCGUUUGUUUCUUUGUUUGCUUACAGAUUUUAAAAUAUUGUGCUUUUAAACAGUGUCAACCAUGUACAAUAUGAAUCAAUAUUCAUUAACACAAAGCAAGAAUACAAUCUAAAACAAUAUGAGAGCAUGUAAAAGCAUGUAAAAUAGGUUUUCAUAGCCAUAAAUCAUUCUUUCAUUUCCUAUGAACCUAACCUGGCCGCAGACCUAUGUACACAUUUAUCUGGGAUCGACUAAGUCCCAUUGAACUCAAUGGGGCUUAAUUCUGUGUAGACAGUGUGACACACACCUCCCAAACAUAUUAAUCCGAAACCAUCAGUAUGUUGGUGGGUAUAAUGAAACAGUCCUGAGAACCCAGAAUUUCAAGAGCUAGCCAAUCAGCUUGAGAGGACAGAGGCUAAAACAAACACUUUCUGCACCAUCCUCCCAGAUAGAAAGGCUCAGUGCUGUGGCUCAGAUAUUGAGAGUUGACAAAUUUGGCUGCAUCUGAAUCUACCCUAGAACUUCUCAGCAGAAAGCCAUGAGGAGAGUCUGUCUGAGUAACCUGAACAGGAAGGAAGAAUGUGAGAGGAUAUGAGGAAAGAAGGGGAAAUAAUGAAAGGAACUGUUUUGUCCUGCUACUGGAUCUCAAAAGAGCUGUGCUAAACAAUGGGCGUAAAUGCUGAAAACCAAACACAGGAUCUGACUCAAACCUAGGCUCAUUGUUCCCAGGGGCCUUUUAUGACGGAGUUGGUGAUUGUCUAUAAACUUUGAUGUGCUGGCAAUUAGUUCUGCGAUGAGUGCCCAAGGUUUGGCAAAUGUUCAGAUUCUGAACUAAUUCCAGUCUUAAACAAAGCUUGUGACAGUUCAAAACCUCAAGAAGAAAAGGGCAACAUCAGUUGCCAGUUUGUUUCUGGAUCCAAUUUAAGAGGCUUACAUUAAUAUUAAAAGCAUGAAAUGACCAAGGUCCCAAAUAUAUGAGAGGCCACCUCCUUCUCUACAGUCCCUAUUAGGUGUUAAGAUCUGCAGAGAUGUCUCUCUUGGUAGUUUCACUACCCUCAGAAGUAGUUGAGGUGGGGAUGGCCCAGGAGAGGGCAUUCUCCACAGUGGGCCCAAGCCAGGGAAUUCUCUCCCUUUAGAGUUGGGUCUGGAAACAUCCAUCACAUAGUUUUUAUCAUAUGCUGAGGAGUAACGUCUUUACCCUGACCUUUGAUGCAUGGCAUGAGAUAUAUUAUAGGACCUACCCUAUUCUUUUGACUGUAAUUUGAUUCAACUAUUUUUAAUAUGGUAUUUUUAAUGGUUGUUACUUGCCUGUGACCUCAUGGUGAAAGGCAAUGAGAUGAUGAACAUGACAAUGAGAAUGACAAUAAUAAUAAACAAUACAUAAGUCAUCUAAAUGUGACCCUCCAUAUUAUAGGUCCAAAAAAUGAGGCAACCGCUGUCAUAUUUUUGUCCCACUCAUUGAAAGGAAUGCAAGGUAGCAAGCGUAGUUUUCUCCUUUUUCCCUCACAAGUCUAUGAGGUAAACCAACCUCGGAGUUAGGACCCACCUACAGCACACAUUUAAAGCACUCCUAUUCCACUUUUAAUAGCCAUGGCUUCAACCAAAGAAUCCUGGCAAAUAGUUUGUUAAAGGAGCUGAGAGGUGUUAGGAGACUCUCAUCAAGCUACAGUUCCCAGCAUUCCUUGAGGGAAGCCAUGACUCUUAAAGCUGAUUCUGUCCCAAACUCAGGCUUGAAAGGAUCCCGAUGACCAGUCUCAGCCACGAAUGACAACUCUCUCAAUUAUCUUACCCCCUCAACCCCCAAAGCUGUAGUUGUUUCAGAUAUUACAAAUGUGUUAAUAUUGCCCCCCCAAAAAGGUGGGGGAAAUCCUGUGUACAUGACCAGCACACACUCCCAGUCAGUAUUUGCCUGGAAGUACUAAAGGGACGCGGGUGGCGCUGUGGGUAAAACCUCAGUGCCUAGGACUUGCCGAUCGUCAGGUCGGUGGUUCGAAUCCCCGCGGCGGGGUGCGCUCCUGUUGCUUGGUCCCAGUGCCUGCCAACCUAGCAGUUCGAAAGCACCUCCGGGUGCAAGUAGAUAAAUAGGGACCGCUUACUAGCAGGAAGGUAAACGGCGUUUCCGUGUGCUGCGCUGGCUCGCCAGAUGCAGCUUGUCACGCUAGCCACGUGACCCGGAAGUGUCUGCGGACAGUGCUGGCUCCCGGCCUCUAGAGUGAGAUGAGCGCACAACCCUAGAGUCUGGCAAGACUGGCCCGAACGGGCAGGGGUACCUUUGCCUUUACUAACGGUACAAUAUUUAUAUUAUUGCUUAAUAGUCAUUGAUCCUGUGGCUCUCCCAGAUGUGAUCAGAUUUCAACUCUCAUCAACCCCAGCCAGCAUGACCAGUGGUCAGGGAUGAUGGGAAUUGUAGCUGGGCCGCAGGUUUCCCAUCCCUUCAUUACUGCUUUAACUUCUCUCGAAAGGUAAAUGAGGAUCAUCAGUUGGAGGGACUUUCUCAUUCCUUUUAGAAAUGUUCCAGCCUCUGUUUGAUAUGUAUAUGCAGAAAUGUUAAAAACUAUCUUUGAACAGUGGUGCAGAAUUGGGAAAAUAAAGGUGAUGAAACUCCUGCCGCAUGUCUUGCUCAUGCUGUCACCUGCGAUUGCAGACAUGGAUACUCGAAGGUAGGAUGUUUACUACAACUUUGUGUGCACUGGAUUUAUCUUCCACAGAUGGUGAUAAAUGAUGCUUCCUGGGCAUAACACAAUAUCCCUCCUCUUGCAGUCUGUGUCAAAACACAUGUCGUUCUGCAUCAAAGACUGGGAAAUUAGUUUAAAAGCAUAUUUUGAUGAAAGAAGGGCAGGCAUUUUGGACUCGUUGACAUUAAUGACUGGAGAAUGAGGCCAGCAGACUUCCCCAAAAGAAUUUAACUCCAGCUGGUACCCAUUCCCUAGACUGUGUUGUUCUUGGAUGGCUCAGUUAGCAGUGUAAGCAAGUUCAGGGCAGUUCAGGUGUUGCAUGAUUCUUAUAUGGAAAAGCACCUCACUGUUGAUUAGAUAGUGGGGACCAUUCUUAAACACUGGGGAUGAAAGUAAAGAAUACAUUUGCAUACCCUUUAAGGCUUUUUAGGUUUUUAUAAAGGGGGGGGAAUUAAAAUUUUCUAAAUAGACUUUCCUUCUAAUAAGGAACUGUAGAUUUCAUUUACUAAGGGCAUGUCCACAUUUGAGCAUUAUUUAGCUGUAAAUCCACUUCCCCCUCCUCCACUUGAAUUAGACAGGAGAGUUUCCCACACACUUAUAUUUGAAUGUGAUUAUGAGGAGCAGUUUUGAUAUUUCUUGUUUGUGCCAAUAGGCGUUUCCUUUUGUAUUUAUCCCCCCCCCCCAAUUUGUUGAUUCUGUUAUGCUGAUUUCGUACCAGUGAGACAUGAGCCAGUGUGGUGUAGUGGUUAAGAGCGGUGGAUUUGUAAUCUGGGGAACCGGGUUUGCUUCUCCGCUCCUCCACAUGCAGCUGCUGGGUGACCUUGGGCUAGUCACACUUCUCUGAAGUCUCUCAGCCCCACUCACCUCACAGAGUGUUUGUUGUGGGGGAGGAAGGGAAAGGAGAAUGUUAGCCGCUUUGAGACUCCUUCGGGUAGUGAUAAAGCGGGAUAUCAAAUCCAAACUCCUCUUCUUCUUCUUCUACACAGACAGCUGUGUGCACAGUGUCUUUUUUAAAAAUUCCCUGCCUCAGAAGCAAUAACCAUUCUGCAAACUGCAUCUAAGUGUGCCAGAUAAAUAGACUUUCUUCUUCUAAUCAAAUUGUAAAGCUGCCUUGCACACACCCCUGGAGGUAUUCUCACUGCAAACUCCCUGAACUUGGGCUCCUUUGGGAGAAAGGGCAGCAUAUGCAUC
rnacentral:lncRNA from 1 species